rnacentral:vault_RNA from 1 species
GGGCCAGCUUAGCCAGCGGUUACUUCGGAUAAUCUUUGCAGAUUCACCAAUUGCCUAACGGCGGUUCGAUACUCCGCGGGUGCUGUCAUGGCUUUUUU